rnacentral:rRNA from 1 species
UACGAAGGGGGCUAGCGUUGUUCGGAUUUACUGGGCGUAAAGCGCGCGUAGGCGGCUUUGUAAGUUAGAGGUGAAAGCCCGGGGCUCAACCCCGGAAUUGCCUUUAAGACUGCAUCGCUUGAAUCCGGGAGAGGUGAGUGGAAUUCCGAGUGUAGAGGUGAAAUUCGUAGAUAUUCGGAAGAAACACCAGUGGCGAAGGCGGCUCACUGGCCCGGAACUGACGCU